rnacentral:lncRNA from 1 species
UUUCUCUUCUUCUUCUCUCUAUACGUUGGUGUUCUAACCAAUAAUCACCGAUGCAAUGUUCUGUCCGAUCGAUUCAGGAACCAUCUAACGAAUGCCGAAGUGUUGUGCUUUGUGAAUUUCGUUAAACGGAAUCCAAAGUACUAUACUUUGUGAGUUCAUUAAAUGGAUACCAAAGUACUGUCUGAAUAAGACUAUACUUUGUGAAAUUCGUUAAGGUUCGAAUCUCGUGACUACCGUUAAGGUUUGAUUUGGGUUUUACACAAAUACGUAUUCCAUUCUGUUAAACUAUAUGUUUAACUACCAUAAUACUCCCAACCACACACUCACAAUCAAACAAACUAUUAAAUCAUCAGAAGAUCCAGAAUAAUAAAGUGCAUGCUUAAUUAUCGGAAGAAGUAGAAUCAAGAAGCUUGAUAACUCAAUCUCACAUAAACCAAUGGUAAUUACAGUAUAUUGGAGUAAGGAUUGGAUCCAACACUGAAAGGACUUCAAGAAGUUGCUUAUUUUAUUAAUUAAAUCAACUUAAGAAAUAUUGUUUUUGGGGUUUAUCCCGUAUUAAAAGCUACCUUUGUAAAACCUGGAAUUUAUUCCAUCUAUUUAAAUAAAAUCCGGUGU